rnacentral:rRNA from 1 species
GACGAACGCUGGCGGCGUGCUUAACACAUGCAAGUCGAACGGAAAGGCCCUGCUUUUGUGGGGUGCUCGAGUGGCGAACGGGUGAGUAACACGUGAGUAACCUGCCCUUGACUUUGGGAUAACUUCAGGGAACUGGGGCUAAUACCGGAUAGGAGCUCCUGCUGCAUGGUGGGGGUUGGAAGGUUUCGGCGGUUGGGGAUGGACUCGCGGCUUAUCAGCUUGUUGGUGGGGUAGUGGCUUACCAAGGCUUUGACGGGUAGCCGGCCUGAGAGGGUGACCGGCCACAUUGGGACUGAGAUACGGCCCAGACUCCUACGGGAGGCAGCAGUGGGGAAUAUUGCACAAUGGGCGGAAGCCUGAUGCAGCAACGCCGCGUGCGGGAUGACGGCCUUCGGGUUGUAAACCGCUUUCGCCUGUGACGAAGCGUGAGUGACGGUAAUGGGUAAAGAAGCACCGGCUAACUACGUG